UUAUAGACUGUUAAGUGUUAUGUGUGUAAUGGCUCUAAUUGUUUGAUAUAUAUAGAAAGGAAGGAAUUUUAAUCCCUUUGGAAUUAGUUUUUCAUAUCAUUUUUACUAUGAAAAUUAACUUUUUUUUUUUUAAUUCUCGGAUCUUCCUAAAUACUAUGACAACUUCUAAUUUUUCUUUCGGUUCCAUACAUCUUUUGUACAAAAUAACAGGUAUGGCUCUGAUAUAAUCCAGUAGAAAUGGCUUAAUCUCCAAGAUCUGUGUAAGGCAGAAUGGCACGCCUACCCUCAAUUUAUAGAAACCAAGAAAUCCUCAAGUCCCCCAUUCUUCACUAUGUAAAAUAUAGGGCUAUUCUUGAGAACCACUGUGGCAUUAUCCUCAAAGUCCAUGCCAUAGGACUGUGUCAUAGGAGCUGAAAUGUAUUCUAAUCAGAUCUAGGGUGUGGUGAAAAAUCCCUCCCCUUGCAAGUGUAGUAGGAGUCUGCUCAGUUAUGCUGACUAGGGCAGGUCCACUGUGUGUGUUCAUCUACUGAUGACCGACCACCUACCACAUUCUAGGCCAGAAAGGAAAGCAGCCUCGAGGAAGGCUUUAGCUAGUUUCAAGGUGACUGACACACCUAGAUCUAGGGCAGAAGUUAGAGGACACAGUAAGCAUCAGUGAAGACAGCUU